rnacentral:rRNA from 1 species
GGCGAGAAAACUUUGCAAUGUGCGAAAGCACGACAAGGUUAAUCCGAGUGGUUUCUGCUAAAGGAACCUUUUGACAGUCCUAGAAACACUGUGAAUAAGGGGUGGCAAGUUCUGGUGUCAGCCGCCGCGGUAAAACCAGCACCUCAAGUGGUCAGGAUGAUUAUUGGGCCUAAAGCAUCCGUAGCCGGCUCUGUUAGUUUUCGGUAAAUCUGUACGCUCAACGUACAGGCUGCCGGGAAUCUGCAGGGCUAGGGAGUGGGAGAGGUAGACGGUA